rnacentral:rRNA from 1 species
CCUACGGUGGGCUGCAGUGAGGAAUAUUGGUCAAUGGACGAGAGUCUGAACCAGCCAAGUAGCGUGAAGGAUGACUGCCCUAUGGGUUGUAAACUUCUUUCAUAUGGGAAUAAAAUGUUCCACGUGUGGGAUUUUGUAUGUACCAUAUGAAUAAGGAUCGGCUAACUCCGGGCCAGCAGCCGCGGUAAUACGGAGGAUCCGAGCGUUAUCCGGAUUUAUUGGGGUUAAAGGGAGCGUAGGUGGAUUGUUAAGUCAGUUGUGAAAGUUUGCGGCUCAACCGUAAAAUUGCAGUUGAAACUGGCAGUCUAGAGUACAGUAGAGGUGGGCGGAAUUCGUGGUGUAGCGGUGAAAUGCUUAGAUAUCACGAAGAACUCCGAUUGCGAAGGCAGUUCACUGGACUGCAACUGACACUGAGGCUCGAAAGUGUGGGUAGCAAACAGGAUUAGAUACCCCUGUAGUC